rnacentral:rRNA from 1 species
AGUGAACGCUGGCGGCAUGCCUAACACAUGCAAGUCGAACGGCAGCACAGUAAGAGCUUGCUCUUACGGGUUGCGAGUGGCGGACGGGUGAGGUAUACAUCGGAACUUACUUUUUCGUGGGGGAUAACGUAGGGAAACUUACGCUAAUACCGCAUACGACCUACGGGUGAAAGCAGGGGAUCUUCGGACCUUGCGCGAUUGAAUGAGCCGAUGUCGGAUUAGCUAGUUGGCGGGGUAAAGGCCCACCAAGGCGACGAUCCGUAGCUGGUCUGAGAGGAUGAUCAGCCACACUGGAACUGAGACACGGUCCAGACUCCUACGGGAGGCAGCAGUGGGGAAUAUUGGACAAUGGGCGCAAGCCUGAUCCAGCAAUACCGCGUGUGUGAAGAAGGCCUUCGGGUUGUAAAGCCCUUUUGUUGGGAAAGAAGAGCAGCAGGUUAAUACGCCGCUGUUCUGACGGUACCGGAAGAAUAAGCACCGGCUAACUUCGUG